rnacentral:rRNA from 1 species
GACGAACGCUGGCGGCGUGCUUAACACAUGCCAGUCGAACGGAAAGGCCCUGCUUUUGUGGGGUGCUCGAGUGGCGAACGGGUGAGUAACACGUGAGUAACCUGCCCUUGACUUUGGGAUAACUUCAGGAAACUGGGGCUAAUACCGGAUAGGAGCUCCUGCUGCAUGGUGGGGGUUGGAAAGUUUCGGCGGUUGGGGAUGGACUCGCGGCUUAUCAGCUUGUUGGUGGGGUAGUGGCUUACCAAGGCUUUGACGGGUAGCCGGCCUGGGAGGGUGACCGGCCACAUUGGGACUGAGAUACGGCCCAGACUCCUACGGGAGGCAGCAGUGGGGAGUAUUGCACAAUGGGCGGAAGCCUGAUGCAGCAACGCCGCGUGCGGGAUGACGGCCUUCGGGUUGUAAACCGCUUUCGCCUGUGACGAAGCGUGAGUGACGGUAAUGGGUAAAGAAGCACCGGCUAACUACGUG